CCCACCCCCCGGAGCCAUGUAGCCAAUCCCGUCUACACGUGUGGCCCGGUCAGGUUUCAGCUGCAUGACGUGUAAACUGGGCGCUUCUCCUUUUCGGUCUCCAGGUGAUGACGUCCGGUCUCCUCUUGACGACGUCAGGCAGGAAGCUAUGAACCAAUUUAUCCUUCAAAUUUUGUCCCCUCCUGUACGUCACACUGGGAUAUGAUGACAGAACAGAUCUCAGUUCAUCAUCGCUGGAUUUCAAGGCUCUUCUGUAAUCUCACUUCCUGAUUUUUGAAAUCAGGGUGCUGUUCGAAGGUAAGUAUCUCCUUCACCUCCUGAUUCAGUU